CCACUUUCCCUCUCUUAUUUUGGCCUUCGGUGUUCCCGUGCCGCGGUUCGGCCUGUAUUUUUUUUGGAGAGGGUUCUGUGCAGUUAUUUUCCGGCCGCCGACGGUCCGCUGUUGUUCCCGCUUCCCUUUGGCCUUGAAUCGAAAUGCGUUUUCUCGAUCGAGCGGAGUUCCCAAAUCGUCGUCGUCCCCCCCCCCCCCCCCCCGACACCCCGCCGGAAGCAGCGGGGAGGUGGCGUGGAUAUUCUCAAGAACCGAAGAAAGUCGUCGGCCGCCUCCGUCGGUAUUCGGCGCGACGGAAGGUCGGUUCUUCCGGAUCCGCCGAUCUGUCCUGAGAGCCGGCUCGUCGAAAUGGCGGUAUUCUCCGGCGGGCGUCCCGGGUGAUUUCCGGUCGGCCGAAGGGAUCGUCCCCCGGACCACAGACCGGGCCCGAGCCGUCUCGCGAACCCAGACCUCCGUCUCUCUCCGGGACGCGAAAGAGAACUUGUUCGCCGUACGGGACCGCGUCCCCGUUUCUUUUCGACCUCGAGUUCGACUCCCUCAUCUUUCGGGUCAUUUCAAAUAGCCCACGCUGCUAAGUGAAUUUUAUUUGAAAUCAAAAAAAGGCGUGCCGCCAUCCGGAUCCGGGAAAGAACCCACCGACGGUCCCGGCCCCUCGCCCGGACCGCCUCCGUCGCCGGGUGGGCGUCGAGCCGAGCGUCCGGUGGACCCGCGUCUCGCCUCCGGGCGGCCCCCAAGUAAGCGGAGGAGGCGUUUCGGGGGAGCGGGGAGGGGACGGGGGAGACCAAAGAAAGGAAGACGACCAAGACCGAGAACGGCGAACGGCACCGGGGGAGCGGGCGUCGGAAGAGGGUCACGGGCCGGGCUCGGACGGGGAUCCCUCGGUCUUCUCGACAGCCAGCGCCCCGAGGGCCGACUUUCCCGUUGCCUCGGUUUCCUCAUCUGCAAACCGGGGAUUCCUUACGGGCUCUCCCGCCUCCGGAGACCGCGAGCCCCUGGUAAGCGCUCAGUACGGAAUGCCAUCUUUAUUACCGGAUGUCAGCCGCGUGCGGGGAACCGGGCCGACCGCCUUCUGUGCGCCGAGCACCGGGCUCGGGGGAGGGUUCCGCCGGAGCGGAGGACGGCGGGCGGCCGUCUUGCCCUCGUUCAUUCAGUAGCAUUUGUUGAGCGCUCACUAUGUGCGGAGCAAGGCUCACGUUCUAACGCGAUGCUUUUUCUUCCGUUUCUGUCAACCGCGUCCCUUCCCUGCCCCUCCUGUUGUUAUUUCAUCCUCCCCGUCCCCCCCGGGCGACACCCAGGAGCCUCUCCCUCCUUGCCCUCAGCGCGGCCGUGGUGUUGGCCUGCUCCUGAGCGUGCUGGGGAAAUCUCAGGAGCCUCCAGGGUGGAACUGCAGGGAGAUGAUGGGUGCGUAUCAGUCUCUCCUCCUUUCCCUCCCGUUAUUUAAUCUUUAGAAGUCCCGAGGAGCCCUCUCGUGGUGCAGCGCGCGCCCCGACCCUUCCACUGGACCGGAUCAUCGCCGUGGUCAGAG
rnacentral:lncRNA from 1 species